rnacentral:rRNA from 1 species
CCCUACGGGACGCAGCAGUGAGGAAUAUUGGUCAAUGGGCUAAGGCCUGAACCAGCCAAGUCGCGUGAGGGAAGACGGUCCUAUGGAUUGUAAACCUCUUUUGCCGGGGAGCAACGAGGCCACGUGUGGCCGAGGUGAGAGUACCCGAAGAAAAAGCAUCGGCUAACUCCGUGCCAGCAGCCGCGGUAAUACGGAGGAUGCGAGCGUUAUCCGGAUUUAUUGGGUUUAAAGGGUGCGUAGGCGGAACAUUAAGUCAGCGGUAAAAUCGAG